UCCCCCACUAGGUCUCUGUGAACUGGCCAAGACCAAGGCGUGCAGCAGGCUGUUACCGCUCUCUGCACGGUGAAGCACCUUCGACCAAGGUCAGUGUAAGAGCAAAGCAAUUCUUGCAAGAAAAGCCUGCUACUAGAGGGGUCAAAAAUUAUCCUUCCAAAGGAAUUCAUGCUUCUCGUCCCUUUACACCUCUCCUGUUGCAUCACACCGUAGAAUGGUUUGGGUUGGAAGGGACCUCAAAAACGACCCAGUUCCAUCCCCCUGUCCCGGGCAGGGACACCUUCCCCUGGGCCAGGUUGCUUUGCUGUGCCCCCAGAUCUGUCACCUCAGCUGAGCCGUCCCGACACGUUCCACGCAUGUUCCCGCGGAGACCACGCAAGCUUUGCCACAAGGAAAAGUCCUAAAGGCCCUGUUCAUCCCAAAGACAUCAAACCUAGAAUUUCUUUCUUGCUGCACUGUUUGCACUUCUUUCUUUCUCAAAGUGUCACGCACGACUAAAUAUUGCUGCGGCCUACUCCUGUGGGAUUUUCAGGAGUAUUGGAUAUAGUUUCCUUUUUUUUUUCCCUUUUCUUUGUAGCAGGAAUCUUCAAAAUCCUUUCCUCCUCCUCCUCAGGACUCUGGGGCUCCUCAUUCCGUAGAAGCAGCCAAUUUGGAAGCACUCUGCAGAGAUCUGUCUGCCUGGGAGGAGAAGCAGAGCCAACCACUGAAAAGUGGCACGUGAGCUCUGGUGAGGACUGCUGCUCCGCCUGCCUUGGUGUGGGAACUGCUGAGCUGCCAUUCCUGCCGCGGGAGUGUUUCUCCUCUCGUGCAGGCAAGGCAGAGACCUCCCAGGUAAGGAGCAGGACAGCAGGAAGACUGAAAGUGUGAUAAGAUGUGGAGUGAAAUGGAGAAUCCGAGAAGUGACAAGAGCAUCCGGUGCACAGGGGGACUGUGCAUUUUGUUUUUGCUUGGAUUUCAACUCCAAAGUUGUGAGGAAUAUGGAACGAGAUGGGACAUUUCAGAAGAAGACCAAGGAGAGGAAGAAGAAGUUGUUGCAGUCCUGGCAAAAUCUUUUUU